rnacentral:rRNA from 1 species
GGAUUACCUCAGUAACGGCGAGUGAAGCGGUAACAGCUCAAAUUUGAAAUCUGGCCCUUUUAGGGUCCGAGUUGUAAUUUGUAGAAGAUGCUUUGGGCGUGGCUCCGGUCUAAGUUCCUUGGAACAGGACGUCAUAGAGGGUGAGAAUCCCGUAUGUGACUGGUAGCUUUCGCCCGUGUAAAGCUCUUUCGACGAGUCGAGUUGUUUGGGAAUGCAGCUCAAAAUGGGUGGUAAAUUUCAUCUAAAGCUAAAUAUUGGCCAGAGACCGAUAGCGCACAAGUAGAGUGAUCGAAAGAUGAAAAGCACUUUGGAAAGAGAGUUAAACAGUACGUGAAAUUGUUGAAAGGGAAGCGCUUGCAACCAGACUCGCAGGCCGUCGAUCAUCCCUGGUUCUCCAGGGUGCACUCGGCGGUCUUCGGGCCAGCAUCGGUUUGGGUGGUGGGAUAAAGGCCUUGGGAAUGUAGCUUCUUUCGGGGAGUGUUAUAGCCCUCGGUGCAAUGCCGCCUACCCGGACCGAGGACCGCGCUUCGGCUAGGAUGCUGGCGUAAUGGUUGUAAGCGACCCGUCUUGAAACACGGACCAAGGAGUCUAACAUCUAUGCGAGUAUUUGGGUGUCAAACCCAUAUGCGUAAUGAAAGUGAACGGAGGUGAGAACCCUUAAGGGUGCAUCAUCGACCGAUCCUGAUGUCUUCGGAUGGAUUUGAGUAAGAGCAUAGCUGUUGGGACCCGAAAGAUGGUGAACUAUGCCUAAAUAGGGUGAAGCCAGAGGAAACUCUGGUGGAGGCUCGCAGCGGUUCUGACGUGCAAAUCGAUCGUCAAAUUUGGGUAUAGGGGCGAAAGACUAAUCGAACCAUCUA